rnacentral:SRP_RNA from 1 species
CCUUGGACCCCGCGCGGCGUCUAUCCUGUGAACUCCCCCAGGGCUGGAAGGCAGCAAGGGUCAACGGGCUCUGUCGGGUGCGCGGGGUCCCCUCAGU